GCCUUUGCCCAGAGAAGGCCCUGAGCUGGUGGCGCCCGGAGAAAGCCGGGCGGAGGCGGAGGCGGAGGCGGAGGCGGAGGGGGUCUGCGGGGCCUGGGGUCUCUUGCUGCUCCUGGGGCGGACCAAGGGAGGAGGCUCCCUCGUCUUCUUUCGGGGCUGGCAGGCGGAGGAGGCCGGGUGCCGGCCCAGUGAGCCUCUCCGGAGCCCAGAUGCAGAGCCCAGGCCCCGGCGGAGGGGAGGCCCCCCAGGGGCCCGGGCCUCCUUCCUCCUCCUCCUCCUCUCCGGGGGCGGGCGAAGGGGCCCAGGGCCGGAGCGGGGCCGCGGGGAGCCUUCAUCCGGAGCUGGAGGGAGAGAUGGAGAGGCUGCGGGAGGAGAACCGGAGCCUCAAGAAUGAGAUAGAUGAGCUGAGAACUGAGAUGGAUGAGAUGAGAGACAGCUUCUUUGAAGAGGAUGCUUGCCAGUUACAGGAAAUGCGUCAUGAAUUGGAGAGGGCCAACAAAAAUUGCAGGAUCCUUCAGUAUCGUCUUCGAAAGGCAGAGCGCAAGAGGCUUCACGAUGCACAAACUGGGGAGAUUGAUGGAGAACUUCUCCGUAGUUUGGAGCAGGACCUGAAGGUUGCAAAGGACGUUUCAGUUAGACUUCACCAUGAGCUGGAAAAUGUGGAAGAAAAACGAACCACCACAGAAGAUGAAAAUGAAAAGUUAAGACAGCAGUUAAUAGAAGUAGAGAUUGCUAAGCAGGCUCUGCAGAAUGAAUUUGACAAGAUGAAAGAGCAGUCCAUGAAAAGAAGAGGAAGCAAAGACUUGCAGAAAUCUGAAAAGAAGUCACCACAAAUACCCACUGAGGAGGACAAUGAAGAUCUGAAAUGCCAGUUGCAGUUUGUCAAAGAGGAAGCUACGCUGAUGAGAAAAAAAUUGGCCAAAAUUGAUAAAGAAAAGGAUAGGUUUGAACAUGACCUGCAAAAAUAUAGAUCAUUUUAUGGUGAUCUAGAUAGUCCUUUACCAAAAGGGGAAGCAGGAGGCCCACCCACCACAAGAGAAUCAGAGCUUAAACUUCGUCUGAGGUUGGUAGAGGAAGAAGCCAAUAUUUUAGGAAGGAAAAUAGUGGAGCUGGAAGUAGAGAACAGAGGUUUGAAAGCAGAACUUGAUGACUUGAGAGGAGAUGAUUUCUCAGGGGCAGCCAACCCCCUCUUGGGGGAGCAGAGUGAAUCACUCUCAGAAUUACGACAGCAUCUACAGCUAGUUGAGGAUGAAACUGAACUGUUGAGGAGAAACUUAGCUGAUGUAGAAGAACAAAACAAGCGCAUCACCACAGAGCUAAACAAAUACAAAUACAAGACUGGGUCUCAUGACAGUUCAAGGCACCAUGACAAUGCCAAGAGUGAAGCUCUGCAAGAAGAACUCAAAGCUGCCCGCAUGCAGAUCAAUGAACUCAGUGGUAAAGUUAUGCAACUCCAGUAUGAGAAUAAAGUCUUGAUGUCCAACAUGCAGCGCUAUGAUCUGGCCUCUCAUCUGGGGAUCCGGGGCAGCCCCAGAGACAGUGAUGCUGAAAGUGAUGCAGGAAAAAAAGAAAGUGAUGAUGAUUCUCAUCCUCCACAUCGCAAAAGGGAAGGGCCGGUUGGAGGAGAAAGUGACUCUGAGGAGGUCCGUAACAUUCAUUGCUUGACUCCCACAAGAUCCUUGUAUCCAGCAUCAGCAGAGUGGCAGAAAAGCAUCACAGACAGACAGCAAAUGAAGGACAUCCGGUGUGAAGCAGAACGUCUAGGCAAAAUGAUAGACCGUCUGAUUUCAGACACAAGCACCAUAAUAACAGAGGCAAGAAUUUAUGUGGCAAAUGGGGACAUGUUUGAACUUAUGGAUGAUGAAGAUGAUGGCAGUAGGAUACGGGAACAUGAACUUCUUUAUCGGAUAAAUGCCCAGAUGAAGGCAUUUAGGAAAGAGCUUCAGGCCUUUAUUGACAGACUAGAAGUUCCAAAAUCCUCGGAUGAGCGAAGUACAGAUGAAUCUUCGUCAGUGAGUCAGAUAAGAAGUGCAAGAGCUAUAGUUUCUGUAGAAAUCACUGCUAUAAAAACACUGAAGACUACUUGUUUGAAUCCUUGGCCAAAGCAAGAUAGAAGUAAAACCAGAAAAUCUCCACAACUCAAUCAGAAUUGUUCUCUUCAGAUAUGGAUCAGUAUUUUAAGAACUGGAAACCUUUCCUUGCCUCCUGCUUUCACCACCACCAUUUUACAUUUAGCGUGAAAUAUUUCUGAAGGGAUUCUUUCCAUGCAAAAGCUUUACCAGGAGGUAAAAUUAAUGCAAGAGAGUAAUUUGAAUGCCUUCGAGAACAAGAUCUUUCAUAGCAAGGCACAAGGCUUUGUGUGUUACUGCACUUCCAAACUGACUGAAUUGUUCACUCAACAAACAGCAUUUGCUCAUCAAGGCAGAAAAGGAAAGCAAGAAUGUAGGAAGUGAGAAGCAAUCUUGUUUUUGUAAAGGUUAAUCUAGCCUCUGAGAGUUUCCGGGAACCAAAGGCUGAAAAACAACCAGCAAUUACACUCCAAAUCUCAGUAAUGUAUCUGUGCCAGCUCACCAGUCGAAUGAGAAAGGCUUCAGUUGACCACUUCCACCAGCAAACAGAUGCUUACUUUCAGAUGGGCCUCCAACACCACCUGUUAUGAGAAGAAUAGCUUUUCUAAACUGAAGAACUGAUUCAGCGCUGUUGAGAAUGCUCCAUACCUCAUAUGAACUCUCUUCCAUGAACAAAACCAGUUCUAUGCAGUUAUGUUGGUCCAUAGUAACCCCAUCUUUUGCUGGAAAAAGAGUUUUGAUUCUUAGGUCAUUCUUAGUCUUCAGUGUUUUUACAGAUGGAUAAAGAUGAUCCCUCACAUCAUGUCUAUAUAUCCUUUCAUAACUUACAGUUAAUUUUGAAUGUUUCCUAAUCAUCUUAUUUUUUUAAUUUAAAUAUUGUAUAGUUCUGUAUAUUCCCUCAAAAAGCACAUAGAAAUGCUGUGUGCAUGGUCAUGUGUUUGUAGGUGCAUGUGGUGGAAUAGAAUGUGUAUCAGUCUGUAUUUAGAAGAGAACAACUCAAUACUAGUGUUAACAUAGAAAUUAUAACAUAAACUGAUAGACAUAUAUACACACACAAAGUUUUAUGGUUAAUUUUAAAGGUUUGAAAAUAUAUAACUCUGAUGACUAUUAUAUUUGCAGUAUCUUUAUACAGGUUUCACAGGUCAAGUGUUUGAUAUAAAAAAAACAAAUACUGUACCUUUUUGUAAUUAUAGCAGUAGAAAGGCAGUUGCACUAAUAUGUAUCAAUAGCAUAUUAAAUUAAUGGAUUGAUUUCUCAACAAUGCUUGAUGCUACCAUAGUCCGUCUUGCUAAUGUUCACUCAAAAUUAGCUGGGCAUUUUUUUCUGAAUUAAAUAAUUUAUUAUUUAUAAAUGCAUUAUGUCAUACCUUGUUCCCAGGAAUCAUGUUCAGACUGUGACACAAACAAUGGAGGAGAAGGACAGGGAGACAUGAUUGGUUUAUUUAGAUUAUGACACAGACAGGGAAACAGAAAGGUCUGCUACUGCCUCGUCUCUUAACGAAUUUUGCUUAGUACUUUGCCCCUGGCUGGUCUCCAAGACAAAACACAUUAGUUUUUUUUCAGUGUACAGACAUUCUAAAAAAUGAUAGACUACCUUAUAGUGUUGUUAUCUACCAUUCACACAGCUCAGAUACAGGACUUCAAUGAGUGCAUUUAAGAACUAAUAUCUGUGUCGGGUGGGACCGGAAGAUAACACAUAUCUGUAUAGUGGUCUGAAUCCUGUUCUAACUAGAGUAGACCCAUUGAAUCAAUGACAUUUACUUACAUGUUGAUUCACUCUCAACAGUUUAUCCAAUGGCCCUCCUGCAUUUGGAACUAACCAAUAGGAUUCAGGGCACUAUCUUAAGGCACAUCUAAAACUUUAAAAACCCACAAGGCUUCUAGUCAGUUUACCCUAUAUCAUUGCCAACUGCAGUCAAUGAUAUGAGCUGAGGUGGGGAAGCUGCACUAAAACCAGAUUCAUACAUAAAUUAAAGUGAGCUACAUGAUCUGGAAGGAGAAAAGCCAGAUAGAGGCAUUUGUGUGUGUGUGACAGAAUCAAAUUUGUUGAACAUUUGCUUCCGUCUUUAAGCAUUUCCUCUUACCCAAGUUGUAUAUGGUUAAUAUUAUGGAUUACUAGGUGGCCACAGCUUAAUCUAAUCUGUGCAAUUUUGGUCCAGGUUGUUUCUUCUGGGUUUGUUUGUCCACACUCAAGACUUGGAUCUGCCAAGGCACAGUCCAUCACUUGGUUUUGAACAAAAGUAGAAGAAUAAGCAACAGCUGAAAGUACUGUGCAAUAGUCUACUGCUAAUCUGUUCUUUCUCAAUCAGCCUCAGAUGGUCAAGGCAACUAUACACAUUAUACCUGCAUGAAUUGGUUCUCAGCUAUGAGCUUUGUUUACAGGAUCUAAAUGUUGCAUCAAGAAAGGGAUUGCUCUGGUUCCAAAAAUCCUAGACUGCUGGCAUGAGAAGUAUUUGCCAUCAUCUGUCACUUUGUGAUUGUUAGUAUGCUCUGUGGGUAUCCUGCUUCAUUUCCCCCCAACAAUCUGAAUGAAAUAUAGAUUCCUAUCAAGCUUCUUUGCUAAGUGCCAUGGAACAUAUCUUCUUCCUCUUUAUGAAUUUUCAUUUCUAUAAGAAUUGCAUAGCAGGAGGCAUGGACAGCAAUCUGGCUUGCUUACUAGAAACAGGGUGGUAAUUCUCUUAUAACAGCCUGAUCAUGUAAGUUUCCUUUCUAAUUUCAACUCAGAACAGAUAGCAUGUUUAUGAUUGCAGGCAAGUUUUUAAUGUAAUCUAUCAUACAUAUUGUAGCAUACUUAGCAUACCUAGCAUAGCACACCUAGCAAACUAGCAUACAUGCAGAGCCAACAUGUUUAGUGAUUUGGGUGUUGAGCUAGCUCUGGAGACCACAAUUUGAAUCCCUGCUUGGUCAUGGAAACCCACUGGGUGACCUUGGGUAAGUCACAGCCUCUCAGCCCAAGAGAAGGACAAUGGCAAACCCCUCCGAACAAAUCUUGCCAGGACAACCUUGUGAUAGGUUCACCUUAGGGUUCUCAUAACUCAGAAAUAACUUGAAGGCACACAACAAUAAUAAAGCAUACAUAUCUGUCUGAUGGCCUUUCCUUAAGGUUGCAAAGAGAGAAUGUAAGAGAUUGAACUUCAGUCAUUUCAGAAUACUGUUCAGAAAAACAAUACUCUUCUAGAAUACUCUUCUGCAGUACUUGGGGGAAUUAGUAUGUUAAUCCAGAUAGGUAAAUUAACCAAAUGUCUGUGCCACACUAGCCCAUGCUUUGUUUCAACAAAAACUGAAUUCUUCAAGCUGUAUAAAACCAUGUGAUUUUAGAAAAUGCAUAUAUUUUUAUUCUAUUUCUGCUAGCAAUGGGGGGGGGGCAGGGAAAAAGGAAAGCUCUGCCUCCUAACAGUUGAAUAUUUUAUUGAUCACAUGCCCUCGGUCAGUGCACUAAGAAACUAGGACAUUUCAGUAGGCAUUCUAAGCCUAUAUUCCUUGUCCAAAAUGUCCAGAAACUUGAUUUUAAAUAAAUAAAUAAAUAAAUAAAAACUGCAAAUUUCAGGAUGCUGAUUUUUGACCUCAGUCAUUUUCUGCAGUUAUGGUACUGUUGCAGAAUAUAUUCUGUUCUGGAUAGAAAACAUAUUUUGUACUUUCUGUAGUCGCAGAUGUCAGCCUCUGAUAAAUGCAUUUGUGCAGUGACAAGAGAACAAUUUAUAGCAGGAAUGUGUCUAGUAUGCCUGUAGUUAUUACUGGUAUCUUACAAAGUGUUGUACCUUCCAGUAUAGUCCUGUUGUUUUUUCAUGGAGGGAGGUCUGACAUCCAGAGACAUAACUACAGAGAUGCAGCUACAUGAUGCACAUACAUUUUUGAAUGCAGAAUCCUAGCUAAUUUUUAAAAACUUAAAAGAAUUUAGCUUUCUCUUCCCCCUCACCCUCAUCUAAUGAAUGAGGUGCCAAAGGCUGGAUGGUAAACUCAUGUUUUGCCAAGCUCAGCCCUCAAGACCUGCUUAGAUCCAAGAGAUAGAAAAGACUUCUCCCUGAGAUCCUAGUGAGCUUUUGCCAUCAGGCACAGGUUGUAAUGUUACUUUAAAAAAGUAAUUCUUUGCUUAAUGCAUUACAACCCUCUUCAAAGUAAUUUGUUACUGAUCACCCCAUUUUUUUUUGAAAUUUUAGUUAUGCCAUUUUUUGCUUUUCCUUUAUUUUUCUAAUAUAUUUGGAUGUGUGUGUGUGUGCGCGCGCAUGUGUGUGUGUAUAAAACCUUCAGAUAACGGCAUAAAUUCAGUUGAAACAUCCAACUAAAAAUAUCUCAAAAAUGGCCUUUGAAUGUAACAUCCAAACUAUAAAGCUUUAUUUCUUACAGGUUAAAACUUGCAUAUUAAAGUAGAAAAUGUUACUUACUGUACCAUAAUUUUAAAAAAAAUCAUUUUCAUUCAUUGUAUAACUUGUCAUUCUCUCAUGGCCCCAAAACAAAUUUGUAACUUCUUGUAAGUAAUUCAUUAUUACUUCUUCAACCUCUGCCAUCAGAUUUGACAAUACUUGUUCUACAUCAAUAGUCUAAUAAAGCAGCUUCAUACUUUCUCAUUUUAGUGAAUUUAUGUAGUACCUUUAGAAGUGCUUAAAAUUAUUAUAUGUGUACCUAAUGUGUUCUAUAUGCAUCACUAUUGAUUUCACCUAUUCCUGUUAUUCCAUUGAAGCCAAUGUCCUUGAUAUUGCUUCAGUAGACAAGAUGACUUUUCUCAAAAAAGGAAUAACUGAAAUAAUUUCCUGUUUCCUGUAAGGCUGGAAGAAAAGGUACAAAUGCUUGAAUAUGUUCAGAGAUAAUACUCUGGAAUUAUGCCUAGUAUCAGUAGAUUAUUCAUAGUAUUGCUUAGUUAAUUCCCCUUGGAUAUGGAUCAUGCUUGAACUGAAAGUACUAUUGUUUUAAAGCGUAUUCUGAUGUGAUUUUUUAAAGAAGUGAUUUAAGUCUAAGAUUUGAUUGUCAAUUUUAUUCUUGACAGGAAUCCUUGGUUUCAAACUUUAAUAGGGCAAUUGCAAAACAAAUUCAUUCAUAGGUAAAUUACCACCUUCUGAACUUCCUCCUGUCAUAUAAUGUAAGAGCAUAGCAAGGGUGGAAAAACCACAUUGGCAAUUUUUUUGGCCAAGAUAGUUUAGACGUUCAAAUUCCAAUGGAAAAAUGUACCUUAUAGAAAGCAAAUCAUCUAUUUAGCCGGUCUCAUGCUAACAUUUCAGAAGCAUUUUAUCAAUUGACCUAGGUUGUUUGGCCUGGUUUUAUUUUGUGUCACCUUGCCCAACAACAGUUACAACAUAUAAUUAAAAAUUGCUGGCACCCAUUGUUUGUAAAUCUAAUUAAGAAAAUCUCAUGGUGAUUAACUUUAAACAGGUCAAUGGCAAAGUUAGAUAGGGUUUUCCCCUUCCCCCAGGAAUUCAUCUCUCCCUGGUCCCAUGUUUUAGAUAACCACCAGAGAUUUGAACUCUUUCCAUGGGUAACUAGAUGGUUGGGUGCAUUGAUUUUAAGCCUACAGAAAAAUAAAUUGAGUUGGCAUUACAAACACUAUCCAGUGCAUUGCAAAACAACAACAACAACGAAAAACCCUCUAUCCAGUGAGGUAGCUACAACUCCUUUAAGCUGUGUGAGUGUUAUCAAAUACAUUAGCAGUAUAAAAAAAGAAAGAAAAACUAAAAUAAAAAUAAAAAGGCUGUGACCAGACUUGUGUAAUGUGGCUUCCAAUAUGAUGUGCUCUCCUAUUGGGUAUCCCGAUAAUAAACUGUUGUUAGAGAUUCUGGGGACUGGAGUAAGGUAGCUGUGCUAGUCUGUUGUAGCAAAAAGAAAAUAAAGUUUUCUGCCAACAAAAAAACUAAGGGUUUUUUGUGGGUUUUUCGGGCUCUGUGGCCGAAAAUUAAGGCUUUAAUUCUGUUGCUAGUCCUACCUAAAACAGACCCACUAAGCAAAUGGGAUUUACCUAUGUAUUUAUUCAUCAUUCAACAAUUCAUGAUGUGUCUAUUCUAGUUGGGACUAACCAACAGGAUUCCAGCUGUACAUGUUACUUGGCAUACAUUUUCAUGGACUGCAACCCAUCUCCAUUUGAGGGAAUGGAUUACAGCCCAUGAAAGCUUAUGCCCAUAAAACAGCUUAGGUUUUAAGGGGCCACAAGGCUCUUUGCUGUUCCCAGAGGAAAUGUUCAGGAAUAAAAAGACCGCUGUGGGCAGCUUGAGGCAUUAUGCUGGUAGGAAGAAACCCUUGACCUUGGUUGACAUGUGCACUAUACUGGAACAGCAUACUUUCCCAGGUCUCAGUGUCAGUAUUGCAUUGCACCACCAAGCAUUUCUGACUUUGCUCUCACAAGCACAGGAAUUGGAGAAAAGAGCUAGGAUUAGUGGAGAUGGAAAGGCUGGGGUGGAGGGGUAUGUUGGAGAGAGAACAGUGCUCAUAAAUAUUUAUGGCAUAUUGACAUGUUUCUACAUAAUUUGAAUUACAGUAAUCUCGUCUCAGAGGACACUGGAGCAGUGCCUCUGGUUGGGAAGUGAGCAAAUCCUAGGCAUCGCUUCUCUAGGUUUUGCUUAGUAAGUCUCUGUGUUACAGUAUAUUAAAGCGGCUGUGUAUUGUCUCUUACUUGAUGUAAGUGCUAUUGAACAGAGUAGGAAUUCCUUCCAAGUAAACCCUUGACCUUGACUGGGAUUGAUUUAAAAGUCUGUAGUCCUAUGUAUUAGGAUCUAUGGGUAUUAACCCCUAUAAAAGACAGUGGGAUUGACCAGGACUGAGUGGCAUAUUGCUAAAUCUAAUUGAAAAAUUGCCUGCUUUUGUGUUAGCUCUUCGUGACAAAAUUACUUUUCUGUUUCCCACCCUGUGCCUUGGUAAAACCUUGAUGAAAAUGUCUGUUGUUAUUCAGCCUCCCUAUCCUUUAUGCAAGCUUUCCAUUUCUGCCCUUCCUUUGAGAUAUAUUGUUGUUUUCUACAUUUGCCAUUGAAAUAAAUCCAAGCUGUGGCUGACAAACGUGUAUGAUAAUGAAGUUUACAGUGUAAGCAGAA